UGCGCCACUGUGUUUUGCACUGUGUGGAGUCCGUGCGGUGUCGGUCCGAGGGACUGAAUUUCGGUGAAUUUUAUAGCAAUUGAUUUGAAUUUUGCUCAGAUGGGUUGUGAAUUUAUAUUCAGCAAGUGUCACAAACAUGGAAAGGCAAGUUUACAAAGGACAGGAGACUUAGAAAGGCUUCAAUUGACGUAGCCGAAGAGAGGCGAGAAGCCGAAGAUAGACCGACUCCAAACGGUGCCCAGUGCAAUCAUGCUUCUGGUGCGGAGUUGUCAGGAUGGAGUCCGAGGAAUCAAGGAAGGCAGAGGACCUGCGUAUGAAGGAACCAGCCCUGCGGAUGAAGUUCUGAGGUGCAUACAGAGGGAUCUCACUGAAAGACCAGGUGCAAUGCUGUAUUGAUAAGAUCCAGAUUCAAGAGCAUGGAUGCUACCAGAUCCUGUGAUUUGAAGUUACCAGUGUCACUGCUGCUACAAAUGACAUCAGCAGACAGCAACACUUCCUUUGGUGAAAGUUUAGAGGAGCAAACAGUUGGUGCUCUGUGUAGUCAAGCAGUGGAGUUUUGCCACAAUCAUGAAGUUGAUUAAGAAGCCAGAUCAAUUUUUGCUCUGGCUUCUGGGACACCUUGGAUCUACAUUGCAACCUAUGCUAGUGUUCAACAUUUUGUGUCAUAGUAUCACUGACGCAAAGCGUGUUGCAUCAUACACAAAUGAGAGCCAGCAAAUUGUCACAUAUUUUCUAGUGAUAGAGAACUGCAUGCCUUAAGCAAUUGUUGAAGGUGGUAAGAGGUGAAUGGCAGGGCUCAGCCACUCAGCUCCUUCCUCCAAAAGCUAUCAAUCAGCUCUAGAAGAGUAGUCAUAGCAAUGCUUCAUAUGUGAAGGCUACUUGCCUGAACAGAACAUUGUGGAUUUGUUAAUUAAGUACCUCUUUAUUACAAGUUUGUGCCCAUUACAAGCCAAGCUUAGUUUACUUAGUUUGUUGCAAGUUUUCCAGGCAGCCUUCACACUUGU
rnacentral:lncRNA from 1 species